AUGGGUGAGGGUGGCUGGAGGCCCCGGAUGGGAAGUCCAGCCCAGUGAGCAGGAGUGGAUCAGGGUCCCACUUAAAGAAGGAGUCUGCCCACAUUUUGGUAAAGCAGCUGUGUUGUGCUGGGCGAAUCCCUUUCUUGUCUGGUUCAUUUGGACCCUCCAAAGCCCACAGGCUGGAACGGCUGAGUCAUCCAAACAAAAAAGGUGGCAGCCCAUCCCUCCCCCAGGAGCUCUACCCUGUCUCAAGUAGGUGCUACCCUGUUGCUGGUGGCUGGCUGGAAUUCCAAGCCAGUUGAUCUUAUCCUGUGAGGUCCCUUGGAAGUGGGGCCCACAGACUGACGCUGCUCUGCUUCCUGGAUUCAGCCCUCUUCCUAAGGGUUCCGGGGCCCUGUGGUGGCUUGUGCACACUGCAGUCUAUCUGCAGGCUCACUUUGGCGUAGGACGGCACCUGGACCCACUGGAUUCCGGCUCCCAUGCUCCCCUCUGGAAGUACAAGUCCUGGGCCAGGCGCAUGUGAACCUCCAUGGUGAAUGCAGCAGCUUCCUCUGCAGAUUCCUAGCGAGGUAGUGGCUGGAUGCCGCGAGAGACAGAUGAACCUCCUGUUUGUCCUCAAGGCGGGUAGUUUCCGUGUAGGAUCUCGCUUGUCCUUACAGGUGCCAUCUGAUCCUUGCUCACAUCCUCAGCUGGCGUUCCUUCCUGACUGCUGGAGUGGCUGACCUGAAGAGACUUCCCACUCAACACUGCAGGCAGAGGGGACAGCCCGGAGAGACUUGCCCGCCAGCUCUCACUUUGCAUAUAAUCUCACUCCUAAAUAAAUCCCUCAGCUCAGGGGUCCCCAAACUUUCUCUGCGUGUGGUGCCCUUAAUUUCUCAGUACUCUCUUCUUAGUGCACCUGGGCCAAAAGAAAUACCAAACAGUUCCAUUAAUUAAGUGGUUAGAUCCAAAUGACGUAGGUAUGUUUGUAAUAGCUGUUUGAAAAGAAAAUAUACAUACAUUGAAAGAAAAAAUAAUAUUUGAUUUUCCUCUUAAAUAAGCAGUGCCGAUGGGAUAUGUGCCUGUUGGACAAGGCCCAACUUCUCCAACCUUGGAAUCAAGUUGGACACUGUUGCCCUCAUUUUCUGUCCCACACCAUUUUACCUCAAAGCAAUCAUUGAAAACCCAGCUUUGGAAAGAUAUGACAACUGUGAAAGGAAUAUACUGCAAUCUGAUGUUCGAACUGUGAACUUCCUCAAUCGAGUAGUUCCCAAGGUGUCCAAGAAGGGUCAGCUAUCAAUGUAUAUCCUCUGAAAACUGGAAAUAUUCCAUGGCACCCCUGUGAACUCACUGUGGCCCCUACAGUUUGAGAACCAUAGCCUUGUCUCAUAUUGCUUCUGAUACACAGAGUGCCAUGCUGAUUUGGGUGUAUUCUUUUCCUGUCUUUGUACUCUCCACAUAUAUUAUAAAAUGUGGACCAGAAGAAUUCUAUAUUUCCCUUUUUUUAAUUUGACAAUGUUAUGAGUGUAUUCCCAUGUCAAUAAAAAUUCUUUUAAAAAUUAUUUAUAUCUGAAUCAUAUACCAAAUUUACCAAUAUCGAAUUUAAUCUUCCUCCAGUCCUUGAAUUUUCCAGCUGUAUUUCAUUUUGCUAUUAUCUGUCAAUAUUCCUUAAAAUGGAUUUCUAGAAGCAGUAUUACCAAAUGAACUUCUUAAACAAUCUUGAUAACUAUUGUUAAAUUGCUUUUCAGAAAUAAUGCACUAAUUUAUAUUCCAAUAAAAAAUACAUGGCAGUGGCUAUUUUGCCACAUUCUUAACUGCACUGGGUAUUUCCAUUAAUAAAAUAAAAUCUCCUCA
rnacentral:lncRNA from 1 species